ACCGUCUAUUACUUUAUCCUAUGUUAUGUAUAUAUGCAUAUUGAUAUGAAGAACACUUAUGCAUACUGAUAUGAAGAACGACUUCAUUGAAUUGUCCUGUUUAAGUCAUUUACUUUCCUAGUAACACCUACAAUGAUUCUUGUAACCCUUUUGAAAUCAUGUUUGUGUAAUAUCAUUUAAUGGCCAUUUUAUUUUUCCAUAAUUCAG
rnacentral:misc_RNA from 1 species